UACAGAGGGUGCAAGCGUUGUUCGGAAUUAUUGGGCGUAAAGCGCGUGUAGGCGGCCUUGCAAGUCGGGUGUGAAAGCCCUCAGCUCAACUGAGGAAGUGCGCCCGAAACUGCAUGGCUUGAGUGCCGGAGAGGGUGGCGGAAAUUCCCCAAGUAGAGGUGAAAUUCGUAGAUAUGGGGAGGAACACCGGUGGCGAAGGCGGCCAGCCUGGCCGGGUAAACU
rnacentral:rRNA from 1 species